rnacentral:hammerhead_ribozyme from 1 species
AGCAGCUGACGAGUCCCAAAUAGGACGAAACGUGAGUGCUGGAU